AGGGAAUUGUCAACAAAGGGACGAGAGACGCGCAACUCCGCUCCGCACUGUGCGCCAGCAUCCCCGGGGCACGGAGGGCGCUGCGGCCCGCCCGGAGACCCCCCCACCCAGGCUGGAUCCGGGCCCUGGGGCCCAGGGAGCGGGUGUGGACAAAUCCUCCAAGAUUUAACUUCCAAGAAAACCGGCGGCGGAGCGGGUGGAGGAGGCGAGGAUGUGUGGCCAAUGCACGCGGAGUGCAAGGCCGCCUAGUUGGGAGCCGCAAGAGCCUGCCUGGUGUGGCAGGCACACGGAACCCAAUCCCUGUCUGUCCGCUGCGGCCUGGGAGGGGAGCGCCGGCCUCACCAGAGGAAGGAGCACGAGGGGAGGAGUUCCGAGAGGAAAUAAUUAGUGAAAUAUUUGCAGAAGAUGCUGGGAUGUGGAUUUAAUUCCGGAUGGACAGUGGUGCUUCUGAUUCCCUCAGUCUGUUUCCCCACCCACGAUCUCCUCUUUCCUUGGCCUAGACACACCAAAAAUAAUUCAAUAAAAUAAAAAUAAAAAUUUAAAAAUC
rnacentral:lncRNA from 1 species